GAUGAACGCUGGCGGCGUGCCUAAUACAUGCAAGUCGAGCGAACAGAUGAGGAGCUUGCUCCUCUGACGUUAGCGGCGGACGGGUGAGUAACACGUGGAUAACCUACCUAUAAGACUGGGAUAACUUCGGGAAACCGGAGCUAAUACCGGAUAAUAUAUUGAACCGCAUGGUUCAAUAGUGAAAGACGGUUUUGCUGUCACUUAUAGAUGGAUCCGCGCCGCAUUAGCUAGUUGGUAAGGUAACGGCUUACCAAGGCAACGAUGCGUAGCCGACCUGAGAGGGAGAGGGGGCAGAAUGGAAGAGUGACACGGAGCGGGCUACACCGUGAGGCAGCAGUAGGGAAUGAUCGGCGAUGGGCGAAAGACUGAAGGAGCAAAGCAGCAUGAAUGAUGAAGGGCUUAGGAUAGUAAAAAUCUGUUAAUAGGGAAUAAAAAAAGUGUAAGGAAUAAUGACCGUCUUGACGGUACCUAAUCAGGAAGCGACGGCUAACUACG
rnacentral:rRNA from 1 species